rnacentral:rRNA from 1 species
UACGAAGGGGGCUAGCGUUGCUCGGAAUCACUGGGCGUAAAGCGCACGUAGGCGGAUUGUUAAGUCAGGGGUGAAAUCCUGGAGCUCAACUCCAGAACUGCCUUUGAUACUGGCGAUCUUGAGUCCGGGAGAGGUGAGUGGAACUCCGAGUGUAGAGGUGAAAUUCGUAGAUAUUCGGAAGAACACCAGUGGCGAAGGCGGCUCACUGGCCCGGUACUGACGCUGAGGUGCGAAAGCGUGGGGAGCGAUCCGG